rnacentral:lncRNA from 1 species
ACUAAUCUAUUAUGAUGUAUUCCUGUUUGGAUUAUUCCUGGGUCAGGUCUAAUGUCCCCCAGUUUUUAUACUCCUCUUUUUUAUUUAUGUGAUUUUCUAUUUUGCCUCAAAAAAAUAUAUAGAUGUCUAGAGUUGAUUUCUCAUAGGAAAUUAAAUGUUCGGAUGGUUCAAAGUGGAGACGGUUCCUACAAGAUGGGGCAGUAUGCUGAUGGAGAAUUCAACAUUUGGGGAAGGCACGUGCAAAUUAAUCUAAUAAAGUACAACACAUGCUACCUUUCAUAACACGAAGAGUUACUACCAACCCACCAAGCAAUAGGGAGUAUAUAAUAUAAUGGUGGGUGGCUUUUGUUUGCUAGCAUGCUUGCACAUAUGAAAAUGAGGAUGCAAAUUUGGAUUUGAUGCAUAUGUAUGGAUUGAGACAUGUACCUGACCUUUUUGAGAGGUUAUUACACUUGUGACUUAAGGUAGUGGUCAAAGUGGGG